GUAUAUGAGGUGAUUAAUUGGAGGGCAAAUCAAGUGCCAGCAGCCGCGGUAAUACUUGUUCCAAGAGUGUGUAUGAUGAUUGACGCAGUUAAAAAGUCCGUAGUUUAUUUUUUUAAGAAGCAAUAUGAGGUGUACUGUAUAGUUGGGAGAAAGAUGAAAUGUGACGACCCUGACUGGACGAACAGAAGCGAAAGCUGUACACUUGUAUGUAUUUUUUGAACAAGGACGUAGCUGGAGGAGCGAAGAUGAUUAGAUACCAUUGUAGUUCCAGCAGUAAACCAUGCCGACGAUGUGAUAUCGAAAUGUUAAUUUGUAUUACAUAAUAGAAAUUUGAGUUUUUUGGCUCUGGGGAUAGUAUGAUCGCAAGAUUGAAAAUUAAAGAAAUUGACGGAAGAAUACCACAAGGAGUGGAUUGUGCGGCUUAAUUUGACUCAACGCGAGGUAACUUACCAAUAUUUUAUUAUUUUGGGAGAACGGUUUUUUGUUUGAGAAUGAUAAUAGUGGUGCAUGGCCGUUUUCAAUGGAUGCUGUGAAGUUUUGAUUAAUUUCGACAAGACGUGAGACCCUUAUUCUUUAUUAAAGACAGACACAAUCAGUGUAGGAAGGAAAGGAUUAAAACAGGUCCGUUAUGCCCUCUGACAUUUUGGGCUGCACGCGCAAUACAAUAGAUAUA
rnacentral:rRNA from 1 species